AGUCGAACGAUGAACCACUUCGGUGGGGAUUAGUGGCGAACGGGUGAGUAACACGUGGGCAAUCUGCCCUGCACUCUGGGACAAGCCCUGGAAACGGGGUCUAAUACCGGAUACUGACCCGCUUGGGCAUCCAAGCGGUUCGAAAGCUCCGGCGGUGCAGGAUGAGCCCGCGGCCUAUCAGCUUGUUGGUGAGGUAAUGGCUCACCAAGGCGACGACGGGUAGCCGGCCUGAGAGGGCGACCGGCCACACUGGGACUGAGACACGGCCCAGACUCCUACGGGAGGCAGCAGUGGGGAAUAUUGCACAAUGGGCGAAAGCCUGAUGCAGCGACGCCGCGUGAGGGAUGACGGCCUUCGGGUUGUAAACCUCUUUCAGCAGGGAAGAAGCGAAAGUGACGGUACCUGCAGAAGAAGCGCCGGCUAACUACGUGCCAGCAGCG
rnacentral:rRNA from 1 species